CGGGCUGUAGUUUAGCUUGGUAGAACGCUACCUUGGGGUGGUAGAGGUCGUGGGUUCAAAUCCCGCCAGCCCGA
rnacentral:tRNA from 2 species